rnacentral:lncRNA from 1 species
AAAAGGGUACUCAAAGAACUUGUAUACGCGUUAUAUUCCUUAAAGGAAAAAAGGCAUCGUUAGGGGCUUGGCUAAAACAUUAUCAGAGUUUGCAACGAAAGGCGUAACUGAAAUAAUCAGUGUUUACAGCGGAAAGCAUAACUGUGAUACAUGUAUGAAGACAUGUAUCCUUUCUGAGCCUACUUUAAGUUCGACAAAAACUCCACUCAGCAACACUUCAUCGCCCAUCACAGCUCAACCUGCACAAACAUAAACAACGAAGGGCUAAGUACAAGAGUACUUAGUGGGCAGUUGCCAAGCAUAUAACAUAACAUCAACAACAAAACACAACAUCGCAUAAGAGGCAUGAGUUUCUUUCAUAUCAUUUGUUCAUUAAACAUUUCCAAAUUCAUAAAUAGCAUAAGGGCAUUCUUCAUCAUCAAUCUUCAUUAACAAACAUCGUGUCGUGGAGAAGGCCUUCCCCAACGAACACGGGCAUCGCACCGUGAGGGGGAGCCUCCCUCAGCGGUCACGGCAUCGUACUAUUGAGGGAGGCCUCCCCCAAUAGACGCUGUAACACUGGCAUACUGGCAUACUGGCAUCGCGCCGCGAGAGAGGCCUCUCUCAGCGGACACUGGCAUCGCGCCGUGAGGAAGGCCCUCCUCAACGGACACGGCAUCGUACUGUUGAGGGAGGCCUCCCCCAACAGACGCAAGCAUCAAACAUAAGCAUAAACUUAUCAGCGUAAAGCAUUCAAGCGUAAAUAAGUGUAAUCAAGCGUAAAUUACAUAGGGCGUAAAUAGUAUAAACAGCAUAGCGUAAAUCAUUUAACGUGCAGCAUAAUAAAGCUUAACUCAUUUAAGCGUAAUAAAGCAUACCAUACUUGAAGAUCCAAUUUGCAUUUUAAAGCAUAACAUUUGCAUAGCAUUUUAUUUACGCGUAAGGAAUUGCCCACCUGAUAGCAAAGUUUUGCUAAAGUACUGUGACUCCUUGAGUAGUUCUUACUCUCGCGCUUGACCUUAAUCACGAGAAUAUAAAAUAAGACAUUGCCUCGAGGAAAAUUCUUAAUUAAUAGAGAAAGACGUAAUUUAACUAUGCAUGAAUCUGGUAUGCAUGAACUAAUAUUCUGAGCGAUAAUCGGAAAUUCUACUAUUAAUCCUCGUUAAUAGAUUUAACUAACUUCCGUCCAACGCGGUCGAAUAGAGCUGUGAUUCUUCCUUUCCCAUCGGAAUAUUCUAAUUGUAAAAUAGAUCUCGCAUUUGUACUCGAUCGAAAAAUAAAGAACUAACUCGGCUUUAAUCGAGGUGUGAUCUCGUAAAAAUUAUCGGGCUUUUCAAAAUUUAAUAAAUAAUUGAAAACAUUUCACUUGAGUUAAGAACACCAACAAUAUUCUUACUCGUCUUUCUUUAAUAAUUGGAUUUAUAAUUAAAACCAAUUAAAUACUUUUAUUGCAAGUAAAAAUGCAAUUUCAUGUCAUGCUUAGCAUAUAAUAAGUAAUUUACUUAAAAUAUGCACAUAAUAAUAAUACAAUAUUAUUAUUAUGUAAAUCAUCUUUUGAGAAAAAUAAUUAAUUAAACUAAUUAAAUAGUCUAAUUAAUAAGUAUCCAUUUUUCUUUGAACUGCAGCCCAGUUAAAUAAUAAGGUAAUCCAUUUCUUUUAAAAAAAAACAUAAGCCCAAUGUUUCAAUUUAAAUCAGGGCCCAAAGACUUUAAUAAAAUCGGCCCAUAGCCAAAGCCCAAUACCAUUUAAACACAAGCCCAAUCUUUUAAAAGAUAAAGGCCCAAUUAAAAUAAAUGAAGAGGCCCAAAUUAAAUUAAAUAAACUUGGGCCCAAAUGAAAUAAAUUAGAAUUGGCCCAACGAAAUAUAAAUGGAACUAAAAUAAUAGCCCAUAUAAAAUAUGCAUCAGCCCAACUCCUUAAAUUAAUCGAGCCCAACUUAAAAUAAUUCGGUCCACAACAGUUAAAAGUGGACAAGCCUAAAGUCAAUUAAAAGAGGAAGCCCAAUCUAAAUAAAUGGAAAGCCCAAAUAUUAAAAAAAAUCGAGCCCAAAUAUAAAAAAAUUUCGAGCCCAAUGUAAUGGCCUAACAGUUCAACUCAAAGCCCAUCCCCAACCCUUCUUUUCUCCCCCCUAUCAGUCGCUAACCCCAUUUCAUCUCUCUUUCUCUCAUCUCACGGACACACUGAAACAAGCGGCGCCUCUCCCUUCUUCUUCGGCGAAACGCCGCCUCCGUCUCCGGCCGGCGUCGACUGCCGCCGCGCCUAAGCCCGGCGUUCUCCUCCCUCUCGAUCUCGUCUCUCUUUUUUCUCCAAGAUAGCAGCGCCGCCUUCUUCCUUGGCUGUUCACCGGCGUUGUUCUCUCUCUUCAUCGCAGACCCAAAAACGAGCCAUGAAAUCUGGAAUGUCGCUGCUGCCGACUGGAGUUGCUGCUCUUGACCUUGCUCUCUGUUUCUCUACUCCCAAGUCAUCUCCCCCUCUCAAUCUAUGGAGCGGAGGAAAAUCUUUACUCCUAAUUCAGAAAUCGCCUCAGCUCGACGCCGCUCUACUAUGAAAUUCCGGCGAGCAGGAGAGUGUCCGACGCCCUCAUCGAUUCUCCGAUGAGUAGUAAAUCAGGGUAGGGCGGCGUCCGCUGCUCCCCUCUUUCACUCGCGUACACGAACAAGGGAAAGGCCGAGUUCUCGGUCCUCUUAGCUCAGGCGAGAGAGUCACCGCCGUGGUUCGACGCCGUUGCGUCUCCCUGGCCCCCUUCCUCUUCCGUGCGGUUAGCGUCGAGGUCAAGCCGUCAUCUAUCCCCGUUUAAAUGAAACAGGUACCCGAAUAAGCCUCCCUCCCCUUCUAAAUGCUAAGUUCAAUAUUUAAGUAUAUGUGAAGUCUUGGUUUUUGCUACUGAUUUGUGAGAGUUUUCUCAUUGCCUUUAUCUCAAGUGGAGAAAUAUAUAUGUAAUAUUUGAUUUCUGUAUUAUGCUUAGUCCCCUUAAGCAUAUAAUCAUUUGUAUACUGAACGUGUGACUUGUUGGCUCCAAAAGCAUAUAUACCCAUUUACACUUCUAUAUUCCUACUCAAACAUGUGUCUGAUGGUAUGAUGAGAAGAUAGCUGAAAUGCAUUGUAUAGUAUUUACCUGCUAUGCUUGGUGUUCGUUAGCUGUUUGUUG